GCCCUGUUCUCACCUGAGGAGUGCUCCGGGUUCCCGUCGGACAUGGGGGAGCCCUCGCCCGGGUGCCUGUGGUCCAGGGUCUCUUCUGGGUUUCUGAGGCUGGCUUUGGGACCUUACCCUGGAGCUGGUCUCCUGGCCCAGUGCUGAAAGGCCUUCCCAGCGGACCCCAGGCUUGGGGGGAAGGAGCGGUGGGGAGACCCCUUGAAGCUGGAGUCCCGGACACCUGAGAGCCCCAGCAGCACUGGAGCACAGAAUCGGAGAGCAAAGGGAUCCGGCUUUAAGGAUGGGCUUUCAGUCAUCAGGAGGUGAUGAGAUAUCCCCCAUCAUCCCAUGGGGCAGCUCUAGGGGAUGGAGAUGAAAAGACCCUUGAAGAAGGCCUCGCACCCCGGCUGGCCAUUGAUUCCUUCCAGAGGAUGGCAUUCCUGCUUUCUGAACCGAUAAGGUAACAGGUCCAGAGAGUGAUUUGUUCAGAAUCAUAGAGGUUAUAAGUGGUCGAGCCGAGAUUUGAAUCCAGGCCCAGUGAUGUCUUCCUCUUUCCACUGCGUUACACUGCCUCUCCAUGUACACACUUAUGCAAAAUAUAUGCAAGGACUUCCAAGAUUGCUGAUUUCCUUCCCAUCCAGAACCCAACGGUCUCCCUACUUCGGUGGAUGGUCUGCCUGAGCCGCCAUGUUUAACCCAACGCAGAGCUCAGUGGCCAAGUUUGUGGUAGUGAGUCUCUCCAACUGGGCCAGGCUGGGCUUGUCUUAGGCUCCCAGAGUGGGACCUGUCAGCCUGAAGAACUGCCAGCUUGGGCAGGAGUGACCACCCUUUGUGCUCCCUUGGCCUUUGAGAGCCUCCGUGCCCUGGAGACGGCCUUGGGUGGAGAUUCUCAUCAGUCAGUGAGGUCGGUGUGUGGCUCACAAUUUUUCUCUCCUCUCCAACUUCUGCCCUUAUUCUAGGGAAUAUCAAUAUACACAUUGUUUCUCCCACACCUUGACUGUUCAUUCCCUCAACUUACUCACUUCCCCUGAGCUACUACUCAUCCACUCCCCCUCAAUGCACACAAAAUUGGCCAAACCCUUUAUCUUGCAAAUAUACCAUGUCUAUGUUGAAGGAUUCAGAAAUUCCUUCAAUCUUUUGGUUUUUCACCUCUUCCUCUGUUUUCCUUUCUGUAACCCUCUCGACAUCUCAUUUCUCCGUUGUCUCCCCCGCACUAACCACUCUCUCUUCAUUUUCCCAUCAUGACUCCUUGGUGAACCAAUUCAACUUCGCUCUUCAAUCCCUCACCUUAUUUUAGUUAUCAACCCUGAAUCACUUAUGCUGUUGGUCCCCUUUCCCUCAAUCUGUAUCCUACUGAAUGAAGAUGAAGAAAUACAACUGUUCUGGUUGGGUCCAUUACCGACUUGGGUACACAACUCAACAGGAUCCUCUCUGGUCUUCAGCAAUCCUACUUUACCUCUUUUAACAGCUCCACUAGCCCACUCUCUUGCUUGGCUCUUCCAAACAUUUUCAUCCUUUUUUGAACUUUCCUCAGUUAAAAUCCUUCUCUUAUUUUACAGAAAAAAUGGCGGCCAUUCAACAUGAGCUUUCUCUUCUCUCCUCUUCCUCCUCUAUCACUCAGGUGCUCUUUAUCACUCUCUUCAUCCCUGUCUCUCAUGAUGAGGUGGUCUUAUGCCUUACUAAUAUGAAACGGUCCAUCCCAUUCCAUCCAUCUCUUCCCAUAGAUCUCCAUAGAUUAAUCAAUCUCAUAUACAAAAAAGACUUUUUUUUCCAGUGCAAGAGCACUUCAUUCUCAUUUAUUUUUAUUUAAAUUUUUAUAAUUGAUCAUGCACUUAGCUCUAAAUAACAAGAACAAGAAGAACAAAACAAUUAGCAUCCAUUUUCAAGUAUUUACAUUUUAAAAUAAAUUUCUUCGUGAGAUGUCCCUAACA